rnacentral:rRNA from 1 species
UACGUAGGGGGCAAGCGUUGUCCGGAUUUAUUGGGCGUAAAGAGCUCGUAGGCGGUUUGUCACGUCGGCUGUGAAAACCCGAGGCUCAACCUCGGGCCUGCAGUCGAUACGGGCAGACUAGAGUAUGGCAGGGGAGACUGGAAUUCCUGGUGUAGCGGUGAAAUGCGCAGAUAUCAGGAGGAACACCGGUGGCGAAGGCGGGUCUCUGGGCCAUAACUGACGCUGAGGAGCGAAAGCGUGGGGAGCGAACAGG